CCUACGGGUGGCAGCAGUGGGGAAUAUUGGACAAUGGGGGGAACCCUGAUCCAGCCAUGCCGCGUGUGUGAAGAAGGCCCUCGGGUUGUAAAGCACUUUCAGUGAGGAAGAACGCCUGGUGGUUAAUACCCAUCAGGAAAGACAUCACUCACAGAAGAAGCACCGGCUAACUCCGUGCCAGCAGCCGCGGUAAUACGGAGGGUGUGAGCGUUAAUCGGAAUUACUGGGCGUAAAGCGCGCGUAGGUGGCUUGAUAAGCCGGUUGUGAAAGCCCCGGGCUCAACCUGGGAACGGCAUCCGGAACUGUCAAGCUAGAGUGCAGGAGAGGAAGGUAGAAUUCCCGGUGUAGCGGUGAAAUGCGUAGAGAUCGGGAGGAAUACCAGUGGCGAAGGCGGCCUUCUGGACUGACACUGACACUGAGGUGCGAAAGCGUGGGUAGCAAACAGGAUUAGAUACCCUAGUAGUC
rnacentral:rRNA from 1 species